rnacentral:rRNA from 1 species
UACGGGGGGGGGUAAGCGUUGUUCGGAAUUACUGGGCGUAAAGGGCUCGUAGGCGGCCAACUAAGUCAUACGUGAAAUCCCUCAGCUUAACCGGGGAACUGCGUGUGAUACUGGAUGGCUUGGAUGUGGGAGAGGGAUGCGGAAUUCCAGGUGUAGCGGUGAAAUGCGUAGAUAUCUGGAGGAACACCGGUGGCGAAGGCGGCAUCCUGGACCAUUAUUGACGCUGAGGAGCGAAAGCCAGGGGAGCAAAGCGGG